UCACUGCUUGCGCAGGCAGUCUCGCUAGAAAAAGCAACUAGCGACGAGGGUUGCGCUCGUUGCGGGACUUAACCCAACACCUCACGGCACGAGCUGACGACAGCCAUGCAGCAUCUGUGGUGCACCCUCGAAGGUCACACGUUUCCGUGCGCUUGCAGCACCAUGUCAAGCCCAGGUAAGGUUCUUCGCGUUGCAUCGAAUUAAAGAACAUGCUCCGCUGCUUGUACGGGCCCCCGUCAAUUCCUUUGAGUUUUAGCCUUGCGGCCGUACUCCCCAGGCGGGACACUUAUCGCGUUGGCUGCGGCAAGGACAGAUUCGACUCCGCCCACACCUAGUGUCCAUCGUUUACGGCGUGGACUAC
rnacentral:misc_RNA from 1 species